GGGGAAAGGGCUGCGAUUCAGUGGCUGAGCAUCUGCUUUGCAUGCAGAAGGUGCCAGGUUCAAUCCCAGGUGUCUCUA